rnacentral:rRNA from 1 species
AACGAACGCUGGCGGCAGGCUUAACACAUGCAAGUCGAACGCCCCGCAAGGGGAGCGGCAGACGGGUGAGUAACGCGUGGGAACGUACCCUUUGCUACGGAAUAGCUCCGGGAAACUGGAAUUAAUACCGUAUGUGCCCUACGGGGGAAAGAUUUAUCGGCAAAGGAUCGGCCCGCGUUGGAUUAGGUAGUUGGUGUGGUAAAGGCGAACCAAGCCUACGAUCCAUAGCUGGUCUGAGAGGAUGAUCAGCCACACUGGGACUGAGACACGGCCCAGACUCCUACGGGAGGCAGCAGUGGGGAAUCUUGCGCAAUGGGCGAAAGCCUGACGCAGCCAUGCCGCGUGAAUGAUGAAGGUCUUAGGAUUGUAAAAUUCUUUUACCAGGGACGAUAAUGACGGUACCUGGAGAAAAAGCCCCGGCUAACUUCGUGCCAGCCGCCGCGGUAACAC